UGUAUUUUGCCUUUUUCUAUCUGCAUUUUAUUUACAUCCACAUUGUAUUUUCUAUCUACAUUCUAUAUGACAUAUAAUUUUAUUAUAUUAUAUAUUAGAACAUUUUAUUUUCUAUUUACAUUAUAUUUCACAUCUACAUUUUACACUUAAAUUGUAUUUUUUACCUACAUUGUCAUUCAUGUCUACAUCAUAUUUCACAUCAAUGCAAUAUUUUACACCUACAUUAUAUUUUACAUUAUAUUCCACGUCUCCCUUGUAUCUCACACCUACAUUUUAUUUCUAAUCUAUGUUAUAUUUUAAAUUUCCAUGACCAAAAGCUCAAAGGGACAGAGGAAGAAAUCUGGUGGAGCAGACUGCUGAAAAAUUACUGUGCUAAAAAAAUCCCUAAAAAUCAGGAUUUUCCCUUAUGGACUGAAAGAAGCCCUAUUAAAAUCCUAUCUUCUGGAAAGCGUCAGAGAGGCAGGAGGCUUGAAGUGUCCAAGAUCAAAGAGAGGAAAAGCAUUUGCUGCUGGGAAGUGAGGCACACAUCUUUCCUCCCUUGCAAUAAGCUCAUUAAUCUGGCAUGGCAGUGGCUGAUCUGGGGACAUCACACCUUCAAAUGCACUUCAAAUAUCUGGAAGGCCUGUGGUGCUACUGGACGAGGAGCUGAUCCUACGUGGACCUAUGUGAGGACAGCUAAGAGGAUUGGGAUCUUCCCAGUAAUUCCUGCAAAUAAUAAAAUAUCCCACAAAAAUGCUGGAAAAUAUGAAAAGGUCAAUGAAGCAGGGGAAAAGAGCGAUCCAAUGCUUUUUGUGUUGUGUUUUUUUUUCCUUCCCUUUAGGAACAAUGCAUUAUCUGAAAAUCCCACUUUAUAGCUUGGAAUUUGUUUUUGUGUUGGUGACUUUCAGUCACUGAAUAAAGUGCGACCACAGAAAUCGGACA
rnacentral:lncRNA from 1 species